rnacentral:rRNA from 1 species
GGUUGAUCCUGCCAGUAGUCAUAUGCUUGUGUUAAAGAUUAAGCCAUGCAUGCCUAAGAUCAAACCACUUAAUGGUGAAUCUGCGGACGGCUCCAUAGAUCAGUAAUUGUUAGUUUGGCAACUGAAAACCGUACAUGGAUAACCCUGUUAAUUGUAGAGCUAAUACAUGAACAAGAAGGCCUGAUUGGGAAACCGAGAGGGUCGCACUUGUCAGUGAAGCCAGGGAAGGGUGGGAAAAUCUGGCUAGGUGCCUCGGUUCUGACCGGCGACAACCAUACACAUAAAACACGGG